UACCAGCACAUGGCUUCCUGUCCUCUGUGUGCUUCUCUCACUCUCACUGGUGACAAACAUGUGCAUGUGCUGGAGGAGACCAAAACAAGGAUGUUUAAGUGCAUCAAAGAAAGUAGAAAGUGCACAGACUGACCAGGGGGAUGAAGCUAAUGAGAUUUCAUAUGCAUCUGUAAUAAUCAAAGCACAAAAUAGAAGCAGAGAACACAAUCCCACACAGGACACAGUGUAUGCAAGAAUUAAAUGAGGAAAUAUUUUUUUACUCCAACAUGUCAAAAUAUCAAUUAAAUUGUAUUCAUUCUGUAAUGUGCAGUAUUGUCAAGCAGCUUUACAAGAGCACUAAAUAAAACUUUUGACAAGCAAGAAAAUUUGACCAACGUGAACUUUGUCAAUCUCAUUUACCACAUGAUAUGUUAUAGGCUACUGUAUGUGGCUUGUGUGUCCUAUCCCCAUUUAACAAAAUAUUUUACUAAUAGAGCACAAAAUUGUUUAUAAGAACAUAAAAUUCCUCAUAUCUAGAAAUUUAUUUUUACUCUCAAAAUGCACCAUAUUGAUGCAUUACAUUGUGGCCCCCCAACCUCACGGCCCCACCCCCAGUCUAAGGAGGGGGAAAAUAAAUUUUGCAGCAAACACCACUCUCAUGCAGUGAAAAAUACAUCGCGGAGCAGAGAGGAGAAUGACAAUGCGCUGACAGACAGGACAGACCAGCAGGGGCGUAAUGUGUGUAAGGCCCUCGUAUCUGGCCACAGUGAUAAGUGAUUAUGAUUUGAAUUUUUUCCAUGCACAUCACUCUCUAGAAGGUUUGGUUUAUUUCAGUUAACUGAGCAUUGCAUUUGCAGGUCAUACACAUACUUCAACAAUUUACGAUUAAUUAAGUAUAACAGUAAACCUUAUAGUCGAUAAUAAUCUGAAAUAAGACCGUCUUUAUGACGUAUGCAGCCUGCAAUGCGAGGCCAACAAAAACAUGCUGGCCGUCAUCAGCAAAAAAGCAGCUGUGGGUAUGCUGUGAACAAGCACAAAAAUUAAGACUAUACAAGUAAAACAUUACAGUGUUUUUAAAUCUUAUUGUGAUUACGUUCAUUAAAAAAUUUAUUCAUAUUAAAUCUUAUGCAUAUUUUUAUGAAGUAAUGAUCGUAACUUUUGCAGGCAGCCAACAUAAGCAUUUACAAACAUGGACAUACGCACAUAUUUCAAGACCAAGACAGAU